CUCUAACCCUUCUCUCUAUCCAGCCGCAAAAAAGAAGAAGAAGAACAAGAAGAGAUAGGAGCCGCAGACGGUGGUAAAAAAAAAUAUACAGGUGCACAGACGCACUGAUCAUUAAACUUGAAGAAGUUUAUGAUGUGACUGAGAAACUGUACCGAUUUGAUAAAGAUGGAAUUCAAUAGAAAAAAAGAGAUACUUAAAGCUGAACAAGGCUCGUUAUCUUGCUUUUUAAUUAUUCAGAGGGAAUACUUCAAACAAGGAAAAACCGAACAAUUGAAGGAUAUAUUGGAGGAAGGGUCUUUGCCAGAGAUUGAUGACAGAGCUUGCUAGAGAAUAUUUUAGUUAUCAAGGAAUAAUUGAGACUAAGCAAAGAGAAAAAGAUGAGUAUUUUGUUUUGGAAACACAAUAUUAUAACAGAGCUUCGAGAAUUGACAUACAUGAGCCUUCAACUUGGGUUGGUAAAGGUUAGUAAAUUUAACGCUGAACACGUGUAAGUUACCUUGUUUUGAUGAAUGAAGCAUUGUGUUUGAGUAUUAGAUGUUUAGAGUAGAGAGGUAAGAAUUGAAACCAAGUGGUUAUGUUUUCGACAGUUUCAUAAGUAUGUUGUUACUGACAUGAUUGGGAAGUUAAAAGCUAUAUCCUAACUUCUUGUGUACAAGCCAGCUUUUACUGGUCAAGGGUGAAACAGAACAAGCAUCUUCAACGUUUAAGAUUGUGCUGGAAGGAAAUCCUAAGAAUGUGCCUAUGCGCUUCUUGGUCAGGCAUGUGUUCAGUUCAGCCUUAACCGUUACACAGAGUCUUUGGACUUAUAUAAGAGGGCUUUGCAAGUGUUUCCUAAUGGUCCUGCAGUUGUAAGGCUUGGAAUAGGUCUCUGUCACUACAAACUUGGACAGUUUGAAAAAGCCUGCAAACUUUGAAGCUUCUUAAAAAUAAACAGACUGAAAAAGGAUUUGGUUAUGAGACUAUAUAAGCCAUUCAAGAUCUUUGGUAAUCAUCAAGAUGGGAUACGUUGGAGUCUGAUCUUGAUUCCAGCUGUGAACUGAUGAAUUCAGAUACUUGGAUUGCAUCUGGCUUUGGCGAGAAUCAUUUGGGUGGGUCACCGUACUUCUCAAAUAGUUUUGCUUAGCAAUUUCUUCUUCUGACUGCUAACAUCAAGUCAUGUGUCGGGACGAAAAACUCAUGCUAGAACUGCAGAGCAUUGGCCUACAUCCGGAAAGAAUGCAGGCAAGGAGGAAGAAAGUUAAGUUAAGCAAGAUAGAUAAAGCCCUUUUGAAGGUAGGAUAAACAUUUGGAUGACCUUAAUAUUAGAUUAUUUUAUGUUGCUGAAGUAAACAUAAUGGGGGAUUUUUUGCGCGGAGACUGAGCAAAUUGCAAUGAACAAACUUGUUGAGAUGGCAAAUAAAAAGCGAAUGAUAGUACAAAGAGGGGUCAUUCAGCAGCCCACAUCGAAUAUGUACAGUUAAGAUGGAUCCGCAGCUGGAGAUACAAGGAAAUAGCCGGUGUUAAAGUGCUUCGGCUCAGAAUUGUAGAUGCAAUUAGGUAUACAAUUUCCUAGUUACAGAUUAUGUUAACAUUGUAUCAAUUUACUGCUGCCACGUAGAACAUUGUAUGUCUAAUUUUGUCGUCUUUAUCAUCUCAGUAAGUAAGUUGUGAAACUUGUAAACAUUUCUAUCUUCUACUGUGAUACUUUUAAGUCAACCAUCCAUUAAUGAAUCAUUUUUUUUUUC